AGAAAGUAGCAACAAUGGAAGCCGUUAUGAACAAGGAAAAAGGCAUUUUAGAAGUAAGCUCGAGAGAAAAGUACUUACAUGGAGUUCUGCAUGUGUAGAAUGAGGGCACGUUUGAUCAUUUGCCAAAUAGUAAUGGCGCGUUUGGUAAUAUUUUGUUUUCAAAAUUAUCAUAAAUGGUUUUUUUUUUUUAUUCUACUAUCUGGAACAAUUUUUGAACAAAAGAAUUCGUUUGAUAAUUGUUCAAAAUUUAUAAUCUUGAGAUAGAGAUAGAAAUGUAUUUAGUAAGAUUUUAUUUUUUAAAUUUGUUUUAAUACUUUUAUUCAUUUUUUCUCUUUUUUCUUUUAUUCUUCUUCUUCCUCAUUCUUUGUAGCUAGUCGUGGCAUGGCCAACGAUCGUUUGGGUGAGAACUGGCGAGCUCAUUGGAGACUCACCUGGUCAAGGUAAGCCUCGGUCUUGUUAGAUUUGGGCAAGGCCAAGCCUCACUAGCCAUCAGUGAGGCUCGACCUCACUUAGGUGACCUGAGGUCGGCCUCAUC
rnacentral:lncRNA from 1 species